rnacentral:lncRNA from 1 species
ACAGCUCCAUCUAGAUGUCGGAACGCAGCUGAGGUAGCGGCACCACUGGCAGUGGUCAUUCGCGUUCACUCCUUUGAAAAGCAUCCCCAUCCCAAUGGCGAAUCUGCGCAGGUUACGCAGCACAAACAUGAGUUCAAAUUUACGCCUUGUUUACUUGGCAAAAUUGGGAGGCGCCAAAUUACUGUUACAACACUGUAGCACACUGUAGCGUUUCGUUUGUAUUUGUGAAUUAUUAUCCAAAUAUUGACUAAUUAGGCUCAAAAGAUUCGUCUCGCAAAGUACAACAAAAAUGUGCAAUUAGUUUUUAAUUUCGUCUACAUUUAGUACUCCAUGCAUGUACCGCAAGUUUGAUGUGAUGGGGAAUCUUCUUUUUGCAUAGUGUUAAAGUUGGGAGUUAGGGGUGAAGUAAACAAGGGGUUAGUCAAAACGACCUAACUGACAGAGUCACAGAGCACACUUUUUUUUGGUGGGGAAAGUGAAAGCUGACAGAAUGCAUUAGGUUAGCAUUAUGGCACAAUUAAUAUUAAAGCAAGUACUAUCAUGUUAGGUCUCCGAAGAGGCGGCACCAGCAUGUG